rnacentral:ncRNA from 1 species
AUGAAGUCAUAUGACUGACGGAAGUGGAGUAUACCACAUGAAGUAUGACUAAGAUAAUAUGCCGACCGUCUGGGCAAUAAGC